UACGGAGGGGGCUAGCGUUGUUCGGAAUUACUGGGCGUAAAGCGCACGUAGGCGGGUCGCUAAGUCGGGGGUGAAAUCCUGGGGCUCAACCUCAGAACUGCCUUCGAUACUGGCGACCUUGAGUACGGGAGAGGUGAGUGGAAUUCCCAGUGUAGAGGUGAAAUUCGUAGAUAUUGGGAAGAACACCAGUGGCGAAGGCGGCUCACUGGCCCGUAACUGACGCUGAGGUGCGAAAGCGUGGGGAGCAAACAGGAUUAGAUACCCCCGUAGUCC
rnacentral:rRNA from 1 species